CUGGACUGCCUGCAUGGAAUACCGACCCCGGCGCGGCCCCGGUGGUAUUUUCUGUGGCGUUCCAAGUGUACCCGACACAUGCUGUGGUCUCAGCGGCGCCGCAGGCGGGCGUAUUUCGGCGGGUUUGUGACAGGCAUCUGGGUAAACGCCUCGCUGUGCCGGGGUCCUCUCACGGCCGCCUUCCCGCCCCGAGGGAGCCGAGCCGGGCCGAAUUGUUCCGAAGAGGCGAAGAGCCGAGUGUGGCCGGAAAUAGCCGAGUUUCCCCGAAGAGCCGAGUGUGGCCGGAAACAGCCGAGUUUAACCGAAGAGCCCAGUGCAGCCGAAAAUAGCCGAGUUGAGCCGAAGAGACAAGUUUAGCCGACAACAGCCGAGUUUAACCGAAGAGCCCAGUGCAGCCGAAAAUAGCCGAGUUGAGCCGAAGAGACAAGUUUAGCCGACAACAGCCGAGUUUAACCGAAGAGCCCAGUGCAGCCGAAAAUAGCCGAGUUGAGCCGAAGAGACAAGUUUAGCCGACAACAGCCGAGUUUAACCGAAGAGCCCAGUGCAGCCGAAAAUAGCCGAGUUGAGCCGAAGAACCGACUGUAGCCGAACACGGCCGACUUGAGACGAAGAGCCGAUGAUAGCCGAGUGUAACCGGUACCGAGUGUAGCCGACAUUGGCUGCAUUUAGGCAAAGAGCCGAAUAUGACCGACUUUAGCCCAACCGGGCCGAGUUCUGCCGAAGAGCCGGAAAAGCCGAAUUUAGACGAAAAGCCAAACCGAAACGAUUUUAGACCUAAGCCGAACCAAGCCUAAUUUAGCCGAGUUUAUUUAAACAGAACCGAACGACGCCGCAGCGCUCUGCCUGCACAGCGCCGGUGCAGACGGCAGGGGGCGGUGUAUAAACUUUUCUUGUUUACAGGGUGCUCAGAAAGCAUGCGUCCCUUAGAGUCCCACGGAAAGGUUCUCAGUGCGCUCUCUAUCAAGUGCUAUGAGUCUUGAUAAAUUGGAGAAGAGCCCAAGAGAAAUGUUUCAUCCCUUGAUAUAAAAGGGAUCGGUGAAUUUUAACUUUGGAGUCCUCUGUGCUAAGGAUGCUCAGCUUACAGAUGAUGAAAUGUUCAGUAAUGUAUUUGCUGCAGCUCUGCUUACCCAAGCUUUGGGUUCCUUCUGUCCCACUGGGAGUGGCCCAAUUUGGUUGCAUCUGGUGAAAUGCACCCUGAGACCUUACAGAACCAGCUCCAACUACGUGAGAGCCAUUUGCAGUUCUCUCCAGACACCUGGAGAAUGGGCGACGUUUCUGAGGAUCCGGGAAAGACUCUCGUAUCCUUGUCGUCGGGCUCGGUGCUGUCCAAGAAGAUACAGAGACUAAAAAAACCAUAAGAAGCAAAAUAUGACUGCAGGGAAAAAGAAGCUGGAGAGAACAGAAGGUGAUGUUGUUAUCCUUACCCUGUAUUAGAAACAUCUGCUGUGCUUUGAUGCUGGCAGCUGCCAGGGGCUUGUUAGCUCUUUGUAGGCAGGUGUAGGUGUUCACUUGUAGGUUUUUUCUCUGGACAAGGCAAUUCAAACUUUGCUCAGCUUAUAUUUGCAGAUUGCUCUCUAGCACAGUCCAGCAUGACAUUUUUGAAUGUUGUAAAAAUACCAUGUUACUUGGAAAUUGCUAAUGAAGAGAAGCUUUAGGGGAAAAUAAGAUGUCAGGGUUGGAAGGUGUGAGAAGAAUUUUGUGUGGAUGUUAGACUGAAGUAAAGCACACUUGAAGCUGGACUGGCACGCUGGCAGGUCCCCUGUUAAACAGUAGUGCUGAGAUUAGCCCGGGAGUUGCCCAUUGUUUCUGUAGAAAUCAAUGUUUCCUGGUCUUCAGAGGUAAGCUGCUUUGAAAAGCUGGAAGGUGCAGCAUGCUGACAAUCCCCGUGCUUUGGAUUAAAAGUGGAUUUCAGAAGGGUCCUAAGCUUUUGUCUUUUCCUAGAAGUCGAUGUAAUCCUAUCGAGGAGUUUUUAGUUCUGUGUUGCCAUGUCAUCCAUCAGAGCCCUGUCGUACUAAUCAUCAUACAAGUACAAAACAAAAAAUCAGACCCUGUCCCACCCACUUAGAUCCCAGAACACGAUUUCCUCAGGCUGCCAUUUGUGUGCCAUCGGUACUCACCACGGAAGGUAGCUGGGGAUUGUUGCAGCUGUUGGGAACAAACCGCUUCUCAUCACACAGCAAUGGAAUUGGGACAACGCCUCGGCCAGCCCCUCUCUGCCAUCAUCUCCUGAAUCUGCAGCAGAGCAGUUCCAGUCCAUCCGGGCACGUGUAAUCCAGUUCCUGAUGAUCUGAGCACACGGAGCAGCGCUCAGCUGCUAUGGGGGGCUCAGGGAAGGCAGAGUGUGCAUUGUCAUCUUCCUGAACCUACAGACGAAUCAAAGUGAGAAGCAACAGCGUGGAAAUCAGUCGCAUAUAUGCUAAAUAAAACUUGCAGAUUUUUAUAAGAA